rnacentral:snoRNA from 1 species
GAGGUGUGCUCCAUGCAGGUGGCCCGGAGAAUGGCUUCUCUGUUUACAACAUACCCAGCAGGAAUUUAGGAUCACUGUGACAAGGGGCACAAAACUUAUGACAUCUCUCUGAGAAAAUGUCCUAUUUAU